rnacentral:rRNA from 1 species
CCUACGGGAGGCAGCAGUGAGGAAUAUUGGUCAAUGGACGAGAGUCUGAACCAGCCAAGUAGCGUGAAGGAUGAAGGCUUUCGGGUUGUAAACUUCUUUUCUCAGGGACGAAGCAAGUGACGGUACCUGAGGAAUAAGCCACGGCUAACUACGUGCCAGCAGCCGCGGUAAUACGUAGGUGACAAGCGUUAUCCGGAUUUACUGGGUGUAAAGGGCGUGUAGGCGGGAAAGCAAGUCAGAUGUGAAAACCAUGGGCUCAACCUGUGGCCUGCAUUUGAAACUGUUUUUCUUGAGUACUGGAGAGGCAGACGGAAUUCCUAGUGUAGCGGUGAAAUGCGUAGAUAUUAGGAGGAACACCAGUGGCGAAGGCGGUCUACUGGACAGCAACUGACGCUGAGGCGCGAAAGCGUGGGGAGCAAACAGGAUUAGAUACCCUAGUAGUC